AGUGAACGCUGGCGGUAGGCCUAACACAUGCAAGUCGAACGGCAGCACAGGAGAGCUUGCUCUCUGGGUGGCGAGUGGCGGACGGGUGAGGAAUACAUCGGAAUCUACUUUUUCGUGGGGGAUAACGUAGGGAAACUUACGCUGAUACCGCAUACGACCUACGGGUGAAAGCAGGGGAUCUUCGGACCUUGCGCGAUUGAAUGAGCCGAUGUCGGAUUAGCUAGUUGGCGGGGUAAAGGCCCACCAAGGCGACGAUCCGUAGCUGGUCUGCGAGGAUGAUCAGCCACACUGGAACUGAGACACGGUCCAGACUCCUACGGGAGGCAGCAGUGGGGAAUAUUGGACAAUGGGCGCAAGCCUGAUCCAGCCAUACCGCGUGGGUGAAGAAGGCCUUCGGGUUGUAAGGCCCUUUUGUUGGGAAAGAAAUCCAGCUGGUUAAUACCCGGUUGGGAUGACGGUACCCAAAGAAUAAGCACCGGCUAACUUCGUGCCAGCAGCCGCAGUAA
rnacentral:rRNA from 1 species